UACGUAGGGUGCAAGCGUUGUCCGGAAUUAUUGGGCGUAAAGAGCUCGUAGGCGGUUUGUCGCGUCUGCUGUGAAAACCCGAGGCUCAACCUCGGGCCUGCAGUGGGUACGGGCAGACUAGAGUGCGGUAGGGGAGAUCGGAAUUCCUGGUGUAGCGGUGAAAUGCGCAGAUAUCAGGAGGAACACCGGUGGCGAAGGCGGAUCUCUGGGCCGAUACUGACGCUGAGGAGCGAAAGCGUGGGGAGCGAACAGG
rnacentral:rRNA from 1 species